rnacentral:rRNA from 1 species
UACAGAGGGUGCAAACGUUGCUCGGAAUUACUGGGCGUAAAGCGCGUGUAGGCGGCUCUUCAAGUCAGACGUGAAAGCCCCGGGCUUAACUCGGGAACUGCGUUUGAUACUGUCGAGCUAGAGUGUGGAAGGGGCGAUUGGAAUUCCGUGUGUAGCGGUGAAAUGCGUAGAUAUACGGAGGAACACCAGAGGCGAAGGCGGAUCGCUGGGCCAACACUGACGCUGAGACGCGAAAGCUAGGGGAGCAAACGGG